CAGCAGCCACGGGAAUACAGAGGGUGCGAGCGUUAAUCGGAUUUACUGGGCGUAAAGCGUGCGUAGGCGGCUUUUUAAGUCGGAUGUGAAAUCCCUGAGCUUAACUUAGGAAUUGCAUUCGAUACUGGGAAGCUAGAGUAUGGGAGAGGAUGGUAGAAUUCCAGGUGUAGCGGUGAAAUGCGUAGAGAUCUGGAGGAAUACCGAUGGCGAAGGCAGCCAUCUGGCCUAAUACUGACGCUGAGGUACGAAAGCAUGGGGAGCAAACAGGAUUAGAUACCCCGGUAGUCCCUGUCUCUUAUAC
rnacentral:rRNA from 1 species